UAGAGUACAACUUGGGAACUUUU
rnacentral:piRNA from 1 species